rnacentral:misc_RNA from 1 species
GGUUAAGUUUCCAGGGAGGAGUUCAUUCAUCAGUAUUGAUUAGAGUGUGCUCAUUAUUGAAGAAGAUAUGGUGUUGAAGUGAAACCAAUUUAUAUUUAUAUUGCAAAUCUUGAGCAAAACAGUGUCACUAUGAUGAUUCAUCUCGAUUCCUUGUUAAAGCUGCCCAUAUUCUUUCCAGUUAAUAUUGAUUUUUCAAUUUAAGUGUUCUUAAAUGAUUUGAUUUUUCGUUGAAGUGUUCUUAAAUGAUUUAAGGGUGUUCAAUCUUGUGAAUGCUAUCUUACCAUGAAUCUGGUUAUCAUGACUUCAGGGGGCUCCAUUCUUGGAGUUAAG